GACGAACCGUCCUAACGUUGUUCGGAAUCACUGGGCUUAAAGGGCGCGUAGGCGGGUCACAAAGUCCGGGGUGAAAUCUUUCGGCUUAACCGGAAAAUAGCCUUGGAUACUGGUGGUCUGGAGGGUGGUAGGGGCAUGUGGAACUUCCGGUGGAGCGGUGAAAUGCGUUGAUAUCGGAAGGAACGCCGGUGGCGAAAGCGACGUGCUGGACCACUUCUGACGCUGAGGCGCGAAAGCCAGGGGAGCAAACGGG
rnacentral:rRNA from 1 species